rnacentral:rRNA from 1 species
UACCAGCACCCCGAGUGGUCGGGACGAUUAUUGGGCCUAAAGCAUCCGUAGCCGGUCCUGCAAGUCUUCCGUUAAAUCCAGCUGCUCAACAGAUGGGCUGCGGGGGAUACUACAGGGCUAGGAGGCGGGAGAGGCAGGCGGUACUUUAUGGGUAGGGGUAAAAUCCGUUGAUCCAUAGAAGACCACCAGUGGCGAAGGCGGCUUGCCAGAACGCGCUCGACGGUGAGGGAUGAAAGCUGGGGGAGCAAACCGG